GGCAGCAAGAAAAAUGAGGGACUUUCAGGGGCAGCUGUGUUUUACUAACCCAGUCAUAAUGCCCCUAAAAAUCCUUAUUGUUCUUGCAAUGUUCA
rnacentral:pre_miRNA from 11 species